rnacentral:tRNA from 1 species
CCGCGACCUUGCCCGGGCGGUGCGAUUCGCUGUCACCGGAUCUCCUCUCGUGUUCGGCCCGCGCGUCACCGC